GGCAGAGGGUGCCCGGCCACCGCGGCGCCGUCGUCGCAGGUCGCAGCGGCGGACGCACGCGAGGAAAGUCCCCCCACCGCCGGGCAGGCAACCGGGCACAAGCCCGGAGCGGGAGACCGCAGGGCACUGGAACAGAAACGACACGCCCCGUCCCGACCGAUGAGACGCGCGAACCCCGACCGAGGAAAGGUCCCGAGGAAAGCGAAGGGGAGUUAACCCGCCGAGGGUCGACGGACGGGAACCGGUGGAACGGCCACCCCUCGCCGGUGCAAGCCCGCGCCACCAAGGUAGCCCGGCUGGAGUCGGUUCGCCGACUCCGGUGCCGCGAGGCACGCGGGCGCGGGUGCUCAGCCGAAUGCCGGGUCGAAACAGAAGGGGGCUUACUACCCUCAGCC
rnacentral:RNase_P_RNA from 1 species